GAUGCUGAUUUUCAUUAGUCUCUUUGUUGUUGUCGUUGUCGGUAUGAUGACUCAUUUUAUUUGGUUCUACAAUCGCCCAACGAUGGAAUAAUUUGGGCAGUGCGACUGUAGAAACGGAAUCACCAAAAAACAAUCAACCAAAUAGUGACGACCACAAAAGGAACGACUCGAUCCAAAAAAGCGUUUUGAUUUUGAAUAAUUUCAGUUCUCACAUGAUUUAUGUAAUCAUCAUCAUGACAAACCAAGAAGCAUUUAAUCGCACCUCUUUUCGACUUACUGGAGUCUGGGUUUUGUGUGCUAUGGUUUUGGUGAAUUCCUAUACGGGAAUCGUCACGUCAUCACUCAACUCCGAAAAUGAAACCGUCCAUUGGAUCGCUGGAAGAAUUGGCUGCAAAAAGCAAAUUCUGGCGUUUAUAAAGUUUUGGGAGAUCAGGCCCGGCUUCAUCCAGAUCAAGUUCUCGGUGAUCCUUUUACAUUAGACGCAAAACUGAAAACUGGCCGCUACGCUUAUCCAUUUCUUCGCACUUUUGCCAUAGCGUUUAUCGGAAACAAGUAUUUAAAGGAUGGAAAAUGCCAAUUUAAAUGUUCGAUGCCUUUGCCUAUUUCAGCGGGAUAUUAUUCAUGGCUUUAUAAAAAAAAAACAAAAAAAAAACAGUUUAUACACUAAAGUGCAUAGCAGAGCAUUUCCAUAUCACUGAAAGAGAAUCAGCGUCCUGGUUGUCCUUCCAAGAGGUUAAGGAUUACAAUUUCAAGAACCGGGUGGGGAAAAUGAAUUUUGCAUUCAGAAUAUACAUUAGAUUUAAUGAGAACCAUUUGGUUGUCCUUCCAAGGGAAAAGAAAUGAGCAAAACCACCAAAAUGGUCAACAAUGUUCUUUGUUUGUUUUCUUCACCCGUUGACUUCUACCCCUUGAAUCCCCCUCCCUAAUUCCUUAUUGGAUAGGGCCCCCUCUUAUUUUUGAGGUUAAUCCUGCGCCGCUACUCCAUGGGCUGAAUUCCUUGGUGGAAACUGACGAGAGAUUAGAGACCACUGACUCUAAUCUGCGGAAUGACGGGCUGUCAUUCAGCAAUACUGCUCACAUGCGUGCCGUCCUUCCGUCGCCCCGAGGCAUGGUGCCUGCUCCAGCUACGCGGCCAGCAUCAUUCGACUACACACCCGACGGCCUGGGCUUUCGACAUUCGACUACCCAACUUGUUGGGCUUAAGAAAAAUAUCACUUGGCUUGACGACAAUGUGCAGUAGUUCUGCAGCCUGUUUCCAGUUCAGGCUCUUGCAUGCCGUCGGUGGUUCUGGUGUUAUCCUGGAUUGUGUUGAUGAUCAUCUAGUUGCGGCCAAAUGGUGAAAGAUGUCAUCGAAUCAAGUUCACUGUUGCAAGGAGUCUGUGGUACCGGUGUUAUCCUGGAGUGUGUUUUGACAAAUUUUGUUUUGCGUGUUUGUGAAUGGAGUUUUCUCGUCGUGCAUA